UCAUAUCAACGGUCGAGAGGCGGGAGCAAUGAACAAUAUAAUUUUAUUGUUAAAAUGUGUUAGGUCUGAAUUAAUUUAAAAUUAAUCUAGAAGGGAGAUUUAAAUAAAUUAAUUCACGUUUAUGAAUUUUUGUGUGGAGAGAGCAUUUAUCACAUUCAUUUGCCUAAUUAUUUAGAAAUUAGAAGUCAAAAUAUGUAAAAUAAGUUCAAUGUCAAUUUUGAAUCAAGUUAGAUUAACUAGUUGUCACACAUACAUUAUAACUCAC
rnacentral:lncRNA from 1 species